UUAAUAAUUUAAAAACCAUGUUAAAGUUCUUUUUAUUAUCUAUCAUAUGGUUAUAAUUAUAUAUGAAUUUUCUAGUAUUUAUAUUUUUUGUCACAUACCUAAAUAGUGGUGUGACAGAUCGCAGUUUAUCCAUACGGAUCACAACCCACGUUUCGACCCGCAUGCGAUUCGAUCGCGAGAGUUGCGCUAUUGUGUCUCAGUGUAUGGAAUAGAUCAAUGAAAAACAACGUAACGUUUUUAUGUGGAGUGACUGUUAGAUGCGGCGUCUGUGUGUGCGCGGGUUUAUUUAAGACGACAAGUGCCCUCAAUAGUCGACACGGAGAGAGCUUUGCGUUGAUUCGGCGCAUGCAAAAACAUUAACAUGUCAUACGACUAUGAAUAAACGUUUACAAUUUCCUCAGCCUCUAAACUUUCAUUGCUAUUAACUGUUUUCCUUUUGUUAAGUACAUUUUCUGUUGCAUGAAGCUGGUUUCACUUUCAGGUGCACAGGCUUUGCAAACUCUGGAUAAAACACAAAGUUUAAACCAAGCAUUGUCCAACAUCUGAUCCUGAUCUAAACCAGUUUGGAUUAAUCUGGAUUUGUCGACUCCAAACUUACUCUGAAUUCUAAAAAUUAAGAGUUUGUUGUUCAAAUAGCUUCAUGCAACAGACCACAGCCUCAGUAGCAUAUUUAAAGAAAACAACAUAGGAAACAUUAUUUUUUUCUAUACAUUAACUCACUGUGGCUCUGUGCUAUAUGCCAUUUAAUACAACCAAAUGUAAUAUCUUUAUUAAGAUGAUAUGCGGACAACAUUCAACUUUAGGAAAUAAUUUAGUUUAUGACUUGACAAAGUAACUGAGAAAAAUGCAUUAUUAUUUCUUUAGGGACAGACAGACAGUCAGAUACAGGCAAUAGGACCAAUGAAAAGGUCUCAAAAAAGAAUUUCUUUAUUUUGAAGAAAAAAAGAGAUAGAAGCAGAAAGGCAUGAGGAGAGGGAUGAGAGGAAGUCGCAGAAUCAGUCCACUGACUUUUCUGCAAACCAAGGAUCAGUCAGGACCUAGCCAGGGAUCUGGCCAUCCUGGCACGGGAGAACCAUGACGUGGCAGGCGAGAUCGACUCGGUCAGCUCCUCCGGCACUGCCCCCAGCACCACGGUCAGCACAGCAGCCACCACGCCGGGCUCCGCCAUCGACACCAGGGAAGAGCUGGUAGAGAGAGUUUUUGAUGAAAGUCUGAACUUCAGGAAGAUUCCCCCUGUAGUGCAAACCAAACCCACUGAGAUAAACGGCAAGCCAGUCGAGCUUCGGCCCUGUGCCCCAGACAGCCUGGACCCUCAGACUGCCCUGCGCAGACGCACCUGGAACCGGGAUGAGGUGAGACCGGCGAUCUUAGACAGUUUAUUGCUGACAUCAGUUUCCCGACUGUCUUCAAAAAUCCGACAGUCUGUAGAUAAUACUGCUGGCAAAAUCAGGUCAGUCAUCAAGAGAUUAAAAAUGUAUUGAAAUGUGUCAGAUAAUCUAAUGACGUUAUAUAGGAUCAAGCUUGAACAGAGUAUUAAUACUGUAGAUGUAUUUUUAUAAAUAUAUUUCUUCUUUCUGUGUAUGCUGACCAUUGUAACAUAUUAUUGUUAUUUAUUUAUUUUUAAGGAUACUGUUCAAAGAUAAGGACAGAAACUGGGAUGAUAUCGAGCGUAAAUUGUGUUUAGAUUACUGGGCUAUUCAAUUAAUGGCAUUUCACAGGAGAAAAAGUGCAUUACGAUAACUAUAUCUACAGCGGGGAAAAUAAGUAUUUGACACAAUAAAUGUCAUUUCACUUUAUUUAUUAUGACUCAACUUGUAUACUUAAAUUUUCUGAUUUCUUUGUAUGAAUUCAAUAUUUGGCUUGAUGGCUACAUCUGGUGGAAAUUGUGUACUUUUAAAAAUGCUGAUGUGUCAAAUGCUUAUUUUCCCCGCUGUAUGUAUUGGUUCAAAUAUUUGACAGACACUGGGUAAGUGGCUAAUUGUCUAACAUUAAGAAGUGUACAUAAAAAAAUAAAUGUAUUUUUAACCAAGAAAUUUACAGUGCAUCUAAUGCAUCUAUGAUAUUGGCAUUUUAAUCUAAAUGUUGAUAAAAGCAUCUGCAAAUUGCAUAAAUGUAAAUGCUGAUGAACAGGACACCCAACUUUAGUGAACACUAUGAAAAAAAAAACCCUCUACAACACCCUCAUCUCCUCUCACACUGAUCAACAGAACACCAGUGCAAACACAAGGAUCAACAAGCCCAUAAUCCCUCUGCUUUAGGACUAUCCUAGGUAAGUCUGAGAGGAAGUUUAGCCCCUCAUCCACAGGAAGCUUUUAGCUGCAGGCUUUCCCCACAAAAUAUUCCCGAAAAUGAGCUUCGGUGCACAAGAGAUCUUUUGAGAUGAAGUAGGUUAACCACAGCAAAGGAAAAGAGGGCGUGAGGAAUACAUCGCUCAAGCCCUCCAGGGAAGUGGAGGAGACCCCCAUAGGGAACAGUUCUGCAGCUGAAGCAACCAGUCACACCCAGCUCUUCAACACGCACUCUUCCAACCAACACAAAGCUGAUCUGAGCCAACAGAGGGCCCCGAAAAAGUCGCCCCUGAACGUCUGACGCUGACACUGGUAAUAAAUUCUGGCCAGAAUGAGCAGCAACAGGAGGAAGAGGGCCCCGCCCACAAUGGCACCCAGGCUACCCUCCGGCAGAGGCGCCAGGGUCGGAGAGGUGAUGAGCGCUCGUCGCUUAUAACCAGGCUCUGUGGCAGAGAUGUCUGCGGUUAGGAGGUGCACAGGGGUGGUGGGGGGCAUGGUGGUGGUGGUGGUUGUGGGAGGAUCUAAUGGAGGGAAGGAAGAAGAGGCAAGAGGGAGGGGCAGGAGGUGGAGGAAGGAAUGAACACACAAAGAAAAGUAGAUAAUGUCAAUGCCAACUACAUCAGUAUAUCAUUAACAGUCAUGAAUUUGCUUCAAAGGUUGUGAUAUUUGCUAGCAUGACAUCUAGUAUAAAUAACUGGAUCUAGAUCUUUGUUGUUGUGGACAAACAGUUUCAGAUAUCGCUUAGUGCUUUAAAAUAAAUAACUUAAUCAUAAAUUCCUUCAUCACACCUGAAUUAACAAAUCAAAGUGUGAUUUUAUAUUUCACAUACAUAUAUAGGGCGAUUUCAGAAUGACUGAUACACUUUUUGCCAUUUGAGAUGAAUUAUAUUUUAUAUUUAUGUAUUUGUGUAAAAACCGUAAGAAUUGUUAUUUGCUAAUUGCUACAGAAAACUGUUAAUAGUUUUUUUGU